AAUCAGCACCAUUCACCUAUGCUAUAAUUCAUCAUUUCAGCCUUCAUAGUUCAUAACUCAUAACGACGAAGCAGAUCCACUGGAGAUGAGUAUCGCGGAUGCAGCUUAUGCGGCUGAAGAUGUUAUCGAGUCUCGUAUUGCAGACAAGAUUCAGCUCAGAAGAUACGAAGCAACCAAAAGCAGACGCUUCUUCAAUUGCUUUCGGUGUCACAAGGAUCCAAUCAAGUUGUAUCAAGAUAUACAAAAUGUAAUAGAAGAAAUGGAUCGGAUCAAGAUGGUGGUGCUCCUUCCGUGACCAACGGCAUACAUUCAUCUCCUCUUCCACCGGGAAGAAUAGCUGUGGCAAGAUUGUGAUCUCUGAUCAUGUCUUAUAUGGGAUCAUGGAAAAGCUCGUUGGAAUGGGUGGGAUAGGUAAGACAGCUCUCGCUCAAACUAUUUAUUCAGAACAAGUUAUUAAGGAGCGUUGAUAUUUGUGCUUGGGCUACUAUUUCUGAACAUUACAAUACAAGAGAAAUUCUAUAUGAAAUUGUUUGUCAAGCCACUAACAAAGACAAGGAAAAAAUAAGUGAAAGGAGUGAAGAAGAGUUAGGCUUAGAACUAUACCAGUAUUUGUCGGGUAGAAGGUUUCUAAUCGUAAUGGAUGAUAUGUGGGAUAUUGAGACUUGGAAUGAAAUACUACAACAUUUCUUUCCUAACAAUGGAAAUUGUAGUCGAAUAAUGGUGACGACAAGACAAUCGCAAUUGAGUUCCCAAUUAAACAAUCGUUAUAGUCAUUCAAUGGAAUUUCUGGACGAGGCUAAUAGUUGGGUCCUAUUCUCCAAAAAUGUGUUCGGAGAGGAACCUUUUCCACUUGAACUGAAGAAGGUUGGAAAAGAAAUUAUAAACAAUUGUAGAGGACUUCCUCUAUCAAUUGUUGUAAUAGGAGGUAUUUUGAAAAAUAUGGAACACACAAAAAAAGGUUGGGGAUGAAUAAGGAAUAACUUAACUUCAAUAGUAAAUUUAGACAAUGAUAAGCAUUGUCUGAGAUUGUUGAAAAUAAGUUACAAUCAUUUGGCCGUCCACUUAAAGCCAUGUUUCUUAUAUAUGGGUGUGUUUGAGGAAGAUGAUGCAACUAGAGUUUCAACGCUCUGAAGGAUUUCUUAAGCCAAUAGAUGCAAAAAGUGUGGAAACAAUUGGGAAAGAGUUCAUAAAGGACUUAGUCGAUAGAAACCUUGUUCUAGCUGAUGAGUUGGGGUCUACAGGAAACAUAAAACAAGUCAAGGUUCAUGAUUUGCUAAGAAAUUGGGGAUGACUUAUUCAGGGAGCAAGGGAAUUGUCUGAGCAAUAUUAAAUGUCUGGGCAAAUUAGAAUCCCCCCAUAUCUCAUGUUUGUAUGAUUUUAGAGGGAAUUUGUCUUUAUAUGAGGUCCUCACUCCUCACAUUUCCCCAAACCCUCCAGAGCUUGACUCUGAUGAUGGAAAAUGACUUGGAAUGGGAAAUGAUAUAGGUUCGUUGCGCCUUCUUGAGAAGUUCAACUUAUCACUUGGUUGCUUUGGAACAGGCAAGUGGGAAAUAUUUGAAGGCCAGCAAUUCCCUUGUCUCAAAUACUUGGGAAUUAAUUGGUGUCCUAGCUUGAAACACUGGACUACAGAAGCGAGUUCCAUCUUUCCACGUCUUGAGAAGCUUCAUCUUUUUCGUUUGGAAGGGUUGCCAUCAGAAAUUGGAUACAUACCAUACCGACACUCCAAAAUAUAUUGAUGGUUCAUUGCUGCGAAUCAGUGGUGACAAGUGCAAAAGAGAUAGUAGAGGAACAAAUGGAUUUACAAGGGGAUGAUCUUCCCUUUCAAGUUCAGGUUCGACUUCCACUUGAUAAGAAUGAAGCAAUGGAUACAGAGGGGGAGACAAUGAAAAGUCCUUACUCAGGGUUGUUUUUCUAAAUAAUGUGGUUCCAAGGUUUGUCCCUCUGUGGCUUUGUUUGCAAAGCGAUUGCAGAAGUUUCAAACCGAGUCUCAACACAAGUGUUUUGUGUAUUUGGUUGUUAUUUUAACUAUGGCGCGUGGUGUACGUACUGUGUCUUGUGUAUUUGGUGUUUCUAAUACUUUGUCGAGUCUAAUAAAAUUAUUUUCUUAGGUUU